rnacentral:rRNA from 1 species
UACGUAGGGUGCGAGCGUUAAUCGGAAUUACUGGGCGUAAAGCGUGCGCAGGCGGUUUUGUAAGCCAGAUGUGAAAUCCCCGGGCUUAACCUGGGAAUGGCCUUUGGGACUGCAAGGCUUGAGUGCGGCAGAGGAGACUGGAAUUCCCGGUGUAGCAGUGAAAUGCGUAGAUAUCGGGAGGAAUACCGAUGGCGAAGGCAGGUCUCUGGGCUGACACUGACGCUCAUGCACGAAAGCGUGGGGAGCAAACAGG